rnacentral:rRNA from 1 species
GACAGAGGGGGCAAGCGUUGCUCGGAAUUACUGGGCGUAAAGGGCGCGUAGGCGGGAUGGCAAGUCGGUCGUGAAAUCCCUCGGCUCAACCGAGGAACGUCGAUCGAUACUGCUGUUCUUGAGGAUUGCAGAGGAGACUGGAAUUCCCGGUGUAGCGGUGAAAUGUGUAGAGAUCGGGAGGAACACCGGUGGCGAAGGCGGGUCUCUGGGCAAUUCCUGACGCUGAGGCGCGACAGCGUGGGGAGCAAACAGG